AAAACAAGAACAUAAAAUUCAUGGAGGUCUGAACGUAAAUUUUCUACAUUAACCUUAAAGGCGCACACAGAAACUUUUAAAAUCCUGAGUGCACGGCGAGACCAUUUUGUUGGAUUGCUCAUCCCUUUACACUCAUUUCGGAAUAAUUUUUGGA
ensembl:ncRNA R31.6 ncRNA